UUCCUUUUUGGCCUUAAUUCUAAGCGGUAUGCGUGGAGACAACCAGGCACUGCUCAUCACUUGUCCAAUACAGUCCCCACAGUGAAGCAUGGCGGUGGCAGCAUCAUGCUGUGGGGUGUUUUUCAGCUGCAGG